rnacentral:lncRNA from 1 species
AUGGCUUUCUUCUCUCCUCCAGUUUCAAUCAAAUGCCCAUUCUUGAGGAAAAAACAUUUGAAAUACACUCAGAAUGCAGACUCACAUGCUGACGAUUUGUGUUUUCCCCACAACAAUCAUCUGAGAUUCAGAUCUCCGCUGUUUCACAUGUACUUUCCUCGAGAGACCGUCCUGCUCACUGCAGAAGACACUGGAACCUUCAAUAGUUGGAGCUGCGGGCCCUCACCAGGAAGCAGUCUUUCAUCUACAGUUUUGCUCUGCCUUUCACCCUUGAAAUCAACUUUGGUACAAGCAUGAUCUUCAGCUAUCAGACCCCAUCGUACAUCUGUAAAAUUUGAAAAUAAACAAGUGUCUAAAAUAUGUGCAUACCUG